AUGGAUCAGUUGACAGUGUAUGAGCCUGAGCCUGAUAUGCGGCAUUACACCACCCGUUUCAUCGAUGGUCUAAAAUUCAAUGUGAGGAUGGUUGUAGCAGUACAACACCCAACGGAUUUGGACACAUCUUAUUCCAUUGCCGCUGUUAAGGAGGAAAUGGGGGCCAUGAAGCUGAAACUAUAUCCAAGAGGUAUAUUGCACCUAUGUUUCCUCAUUCAGACAGGUUGGUGCCAUCGAAGCAUGAUGAAGAGCACAAAACAUCAGACAAGUCUAAGACCACCGGUUCAGAGGACAAGUUGGUAA
rnacentral:rRNA from 1 species